CGCUCGACAUCAGAGUUUGAUCCUGGCUCAGGAUGAACGCUGGCGGCGUGCUUAACACAUGCAAGUUGGGCGAGGAUAUUUUGAAGAGACUUCGGUUGAUUUAGGAUAUUCUAGCAGCGGACGGGUGAGUAAAGCACAAGGACUUGUCCAAAAGAGGGGGACACCUGCGGGAAACCGGAGCUAAAACCCCAUAAGCCGAGAGGUGAAAGCAGCGAUGCGCUAUUGGAGAGACUUGUGUCCUAUCAGGCAGUUGGUGAGGUGAAAGCUCACCAAACCGAAGACGGGUAGCCGGACUGAGAGGUUGACCCCCACACUGGUACUGAGAUACGGGCCAG
rnacentral:rRNA from 1 species